AUGUUCAACUCGGCUCUCAGCAAAGAUCCUUCCCAGCAAGAUGAAGCCCACCAUCUUCCUUCUCAUUUCUCUGCUUGUCAUUCUGCAGGAGCAAGCAGCAGCUGGAAUUGGAUAUCAUGGUAGUCCACAAAGCCAGUUGACAAAUGAAGCACUCCCAUUCUCAAAAAGACCAAGAUCUGGCCGAGGUUUCGGACACCACAGUGUGCAUGUUUCAGAAGGCAGUUCUCUAACCCACACUGAUUCAAAAGCUGGUGACGGUGAAUCAGACACGAAAUACACACUUAAAGAAAAAGAAACCAUUGUCUCCGAGGAACACAGAUCUGCAAAAACUGAUGGCAUUUCUUCCGGUGAUAGUCUCCUGGGGAAUAAGAUCGAAAACCGUGUACACAGACAUUUCCACGAAAGACGUCACAAAACUGAAAAGGAAGAUCAAGGUGGCUUUGAGUUUGCAAAGAGAAGGACCGUCCAGUAUCAGCAUGAACAGAGUGAUUAGUACAGCCACUGACCAACUGAACACCUGGACUGAUAGCAAGGAGUCACCUAACCUGAGUGAAGACUGUGAUGUGUUCAAGAUGAAGACUUCCAUAUGGUCCCACAACCUUGGUUCAUGGAUGACACCUUGUGCUCACACCUGCUUUUCUUGGGGUUUCUAGAACUGGGGAUUCUUCAAACACCUGCUCUUAAAUAAAAAGAUCACUUUCUGCAUCA